GGAAAUCUCUCUGCCAUAGCUCUUCUUCUCUUCUUCAUAGCUCUUCUUCUUCUUCUUUCUUUACCAGCCAAGUGUGCUCUGGGAUAUUUGAUGCUCCCUGAAAAUGGCAGUGGCAAUGGAGGCUGCCGUCUCCUCCACACCUCGUGUGUGUUGAUACACACAGGUGCAUCCGAGUGUCCCAGCAGCUGUGAGUCUAUGGGUGGCACUGAGACACAGGAUUCUCAGAAGCAGCACUGGAAGUCCCACUCUUGAGCACAGUCUCAUUGUUUUUUAAGGGUCUAGAGAGGGUUGUGUGUGCACAUACACGCGAUGUGCAUUAAAUACACACUCAGUGUAACACCAGCCAGGACGGCUCUUUUCCUUUCAGGAUGGUGACCCUGUCUGAGGGAAGCUGAUGAAGCCCUACAGGAGGGAGAUCUGAGUCAUGAGAGCCUUCUCAUGGAAACUUACUUCCUGGCCUCCUUUUUGCUGCACACUGAGAACAGAAGAUGAACUAGGACGUGGUGGAGGGAAACUGCAAUGGGCCAAGUCUGUGCAUGGGGUUGUGAGCUGCAGCCCUUGGAGGGCAGGCAGAACUGUGCUGUGCUGGAAGGGGAAGUAGCAACUGCUGCCUGAGUCACAGCUGAUGUAAAUACC
rnacentral:lncRNA from 1 species